UGCAGCCCGCAGCUCAGAUUCUGCCUUUCUCCCAGCUGCUGCCAUCAGGACGUUGCCAGGUUCUGGUGGUAGCAGCUGGAAGGAUGCAGGAAGAUCCCAACAAGGGCUGU
ensembl:miRNA gga-mir-6646-1 gga-mir-6646-1